rnacentral:rRNA from 1 species
CCUACGGGUGGCAGCAGUGAGGAAUAUUGGUCAAUGGACGAGAGUCUGAACCAGCCAAGUAGCGUGAAGGAUGACUGCCCUAUGGGUUGUAAACUUCUUUUAUAUGGGAAUAAACUGUUCCACGUGUGGGAUUUUGUAUGUACCAUAUGAAUAAGGAUCGGCUAACUCCGUGCCAGCAGCCGCGGUAAUACGGAGGAUCCGAGCGUUAUCCGGAUUUAUUGGGUUUAAAGGGAGCGUAGGUGGAUUGUUAAGUCAGUUGUGAAAGUUUGCGGCUCAACCGUAAAAUUGCAGUUGAUACUGGCAGUCGUGAGUACAGUAGAGGUGGGCGGAAUUCGUGGUGUAGCGGUGAAAUGCGUAGAUAUCACGAAGAACUCCGAUGGCGAAGGCAGCUCACUGGACUGCAACUGACACUGAGGCUCGAAAGUGUGGGUAUCAAACAGGAUUAGAUACCCGAGUAGUC